GUACGUUGUUGUUGCUUCUAAUUUUGAUUCGUUAAUCCUUACUGUUUAAAAUUUCGUCGAAUUUUGCAGCUUAUCUUGCCUAUUACUAGAUGCUCGACGGCUGCCUGCAGGUGGAUUUGUGCAAUUACACACGGUACAACUUUCCACCGAUUUCUCAUAAAUCACACAUAGUGGUUCGCCUUUGGCGUUAAUUGUGACCAUUUGCUGGUUUUCUAUUAAGGUGUCUGCCUCUUUAAUGGCUAGUGUGUUUACACUGAAUAAUUUAGAGUGCUCAGAAUAGGCGUUUGCUUGAAUGCUCGAUCACAGAGUAGUAAAAGAGGACUUCGGUUCUAUUUAUAGAUUCAGGAACUGAACUAAUGGUUAAGAGUUAGGAGCAUUUGUAUCCCUGCACGAGAGGUGAAAUUCGUGGACCGCAAGAGGACGCCCUAAAAAGAAAGCAUUUGCCAAGAACGUCUUCAUUAGCCAAGAACGAAGGUCAGAGGUUCGAAGGCGAUUAGAUACUGCCCUAAUUCUGUCAGUAAACUAUGCCAUCUAGCGAUCCGAUGGGGUAUUGCUGCCUUGUUGAGGUGUUCGCUUUACCGGAUAUAACGC
rfam:Oesophagostomum dentatum strain OD-Hann O_dentatum-1.0_Cont728138.1, whole genome shotgun sequence.